GUGGGAUCAGUGGCGAACGGGUGAGUAACACGUGAGCAACCUGCCCCUGACUCUGGGAUAAGCGCUGGAAACGGCGUCUAAUACUGGAUAUGUGACGUGAUCGCAUGGUCUGCGUCUGGAAAGAAUUUCGGUUGGGGAUGGGCUCGCGGCCUAUCAGCUUGUUGGUGAGGUAAUGGCUCACCAAGGCGUCGACGGGUAGCCGGCCUGAGAGGGUGACCGGCCACACUGGGACUGAGACACGGCCCAGACUCCUACGGGAGGCAGCAGUGGGGAAUAUUGCACAAUGGGCGCAAGCCUGAUGCAGCAACGCCGCGUGAGGGACGACGGCCUUCGGGUUGUAAACCUCUUUUAGCAGGGAAGAAGCGAAAGUGACGGUACCUGCAGAAAAAGCGCCGGCUAACUACGUGCCAGCAGCCGCGGUAAUACGUAGGGCGCAAGCGUUAUCCGGAAUUAUUGGGCGUAAAGAGCUCGUAGGCGGUUUGUCGCGUCUGCUGUGAAAUCCGGAGGCUCAACCUCCGGCCUGCAGUGGGUACGGGCAGACUAGAGUGCGGUAGGGGAGAUUGGAAUUCCUGGUGUAGCGGUGGAAUGCGCAGAUAUCA
rnacentral:rRNA from 1 species